UCGAGAAAUAGGGGUGGGGUAGCACAAAUCUCCAGCCACAGACUCUUUCUUCCCCAGGGCAAAUUCCCCAAUUAUGUUUUCCUGUCAUCGUUGCCUCCCUCUUGUCUGAGCUCAUCAACAUUUCAGCCAAAUUACUGUGCUGCUAAGUCACUGGGAAAAUCAGGACCCCACACCAAGAUGAUCAUCUUAGAAGUGCACAAAA
rfam:Otolemur garnettii contig066308, whole genome shotgun sequence.